UACAGAGGGUGCGAGCGUUAAUCGGAAUUACUGGGCGUAAAGCGUGCGUAGACGGUUAUUUAAGUCGGGUGUGAAAGCCCCGGGCUCAACCUGGGAAUUGCAUUCGAGACUGAAUAGCUAGGGUACGGUAGAGGGAAGCGGAAUUUCCGGUGUAGCGGUGAAAUGCGUAGAUAUCGAGAGGAACACCUGCGGCGAAGGCGGGUUGCUGGGCCGACACUGACGCUGAUGCGCGAAAGCCAGGGGAGCGAACGGG
rnacentral:rRNA from 1 species